rnacentral:tRNA from 1 species
GAGGGAGAGGUUAGCCCAGCAAGAGCUGCUAACUCUUGCACCUGAGCCUAAAGCCUCAGCUCCCUUA